rnacentral:rRNA from 1 species
GACGAACGCUGGCGGCGUGCCUAAUACAUGCAAGUAGAACGCAGUUGCGAACGGGUGAGUCACGCGUAGGUAACUGCCUCAUAAGGGGGGAUAACUCUUGGAAACGAUAGCUAAUACCGCAAACUGUCACAUGGACCUGCGUUUGAUUAGCUAGUUGGUGAGGUAAAGGCGCACCAAGGCUACGAUACAUAGACGACCUGACAGGGUUGCCGGACACACUGGGACUGAGGCCCGGCCCAGAAUCAUACGGGAGGCAGCAGUAGGGAAUUUUCGGAAAUGGACGGAAGUCUGACCGAGCAACGCCGCGUGAGUGAAGAAGGUUUUCGGAUCGUAAAGAUCUGUUGUUAGAGAAGCGGUACCUACCCAGAAAGGGACGGCUAACUACGUGCCAGCCGCCGCGGUAAUAC